ACGCUGGCGGCGUGCCUAACACAUGCAAGUCGAACGGUAACAGGUCUUCGGAUGCUGACGAGUGGCGCACGGGUGAGUAACGCGUGGAUAUCUGCCUAUUAGUGGGGGACAACUUUCGGAAACGGAAGCUAAUACCGCAUAAUCUCUACGGAGGAAAGCAGGGGACCUUUCGGGGCCUUGUGCUGAUAGAUGAGUCCGCGUCUGAUUAGCUAGUUGGUAGGGUAAAGGCCUACCAAGGCGAUGAUCAGUAUCUGGUUUGAGAGGAUGAUCAGACACACUGGAACUGAGACACGGUCCAGACUUCUACGGAAGGCAGCAGUGGGGAAUAUUGCACAAUGGGGGAAACCCUGAUGCAGCGACGCCGCGUGUGGGAAGAAGGCUUUAGGGUUGUAAACCACUUUCAAUUGGGAAGAAGAGAUGAGUACUAAUAUUAUUCUGAUUUGACGGUACCUUUAGAAGAAGCACCGGCUAAUUUCGUGCCAGCAGCCGCGGUAAUACGAAAGGUGCAAGCGUUGUUCGGAUUUACUGGGCGUAAAGCGAGUGUAGGUUGUUUAUUAAGUCGGAUGUGAAAUCCCAGGGCUCAACCCUGGAACUGCAUUCGAUACUGAUAGGCUAGAGUUCGGGAGGGGUAAGCGGAAUUCCGUGUGUAGCAGUGAAAUGCGUAGAUAUACGGAGGAACACCUGAGGCGAAGGCGGCUUACUGGACCGAUACUGACACUGAGACUCGAAAGCGUGGGUAGCAAACAGGAUUAGAUACCCUGGUAGUCCACGCCCUAAACGAUGUCAACUAGCCGUUGCGGGUAUCGACCCCUGCAGUGGCGAAGCUAACGCGAUAAGUUGACCGCCUGGGGAGUACGGUC
rnacentral:rRNA from 1 species